AAACCCCACGAAAUAAACGUACCCACGUUCGGACUGCAGCCUGCAACUCGGCUGCACGAAGCCGGAAUCGCUAGUAAUCGCAGAUCAGCAUGCUGCGGUGAAUACGUUCCCGGGUCUUGUACACACCGCCCGUCACACCAUGGGAGCCGGGAAUGCCCGAAGUCAGCGGCCCAACCGAAAGGGGGAGCUGCCGAAGGCAGGCCUGGUGACUGGGGUGAAGUCGUAACAAGGUAUC
rnacentral:rRNA from 1 species